UACGGAGGGUGCAAGCGUUGUUCGGAAUUAUUGGGCGUAAAGAGCGUGUAGGCGGUUGAACAAGUCAGAUGUGAAAUCCCUCGGCUCAACCGAGGAAGUGCAUUUGAAACUGUUCAGCUUGAGUACGGGAGAGGAGAGCGGAAUUCCCGGUGUAGAGGUGAAAUUCGUAGAUAUCGGGAGGAACACCGGUGGCGAAGGCGGUUCUCUGGCCCGAUACUGACGCUGAGACGCGAAAGCGUGGGGAGCAAACAGG
rnacentral:misc_RNA from 1 species